GUAUUUUGACAUUUUGUUUGUUUUCUUUGACACUGUUUUCAGUGUGGUGCGCGAGGGAGCUGCAAUAUCAGGAAAUUAAUUAAAUUAGAGAACGAUUGAGUGGCCGCACCGUGCAAAAGGCACCAAGAAGGUAUCCCGGAGUACCGUGGCAACGUGCGUGCGUGCACAGUGGUAGUGUGGAAUGUUUUGUGUGAGUGGUGUGUGACCUAAAAAGAAGCAAAAAGGUUUUCUUUUGCCAUCAAAAUACGCCUUUUUCCACACAUAAAUUGUGACAACUUCUCCCUGCGCCUACUGUGUUUGUGCCCGUGUGCCCCGGGGGCUUCCCCCCCUCAAGGUGCCGUACAGAUGUGGCUUGGCUGGUGGUGCAGUGAAUCCCAGUAGGGGGGCUACACACACCGUUGGUGUUUUGCCUUUUUGCAAAAGGGGCCCAUCAAUUUGCGCCGAGGUGUGUUGCUUUGGUGUUUACAAAUUUCCCCCAUAUCUGUGUGUCCGGAAGACAGAGACACACAUCUUUUGGGCCCCACGCAGUGCUGUGUGCGCGAGUGAGACGGGACGCUGUGGAAGAUUUUUCGUGCGAGGACAGACCCGAAGUGUAACGGGGCCCGUGCCCGAGAGAGAGCCGCGCGCGAGAGAGAGAAAAGUGCGUGGAAAAGAGUUUUUCCUGACCCUCCUCCGCAAGAGACGCUCUUCAUCUUACUCUCGCAAUUACGCGCGCCAAAAGUUCUCAUCCUCCUACACAUAAGAAAAGAAAAACAUUAAUCUGUGCGGAGAGGAGACAAUGUGAACUUCCAGUGAGGAGCCCCCAAGUUUAGAGUACGCGUGUGUGUGUGUGAGAGACUCCAGAAUGGAGCAAGAUAGUGAUUCGAGGAUUCCUUCUGUGGAGGAACUUCCACCAAGUACGAGUCCGGAAGUGAAGGAGAAGGAAGAGAAAUCUCCUGUAGUGGAAGCAGCAGCAGCAACUCCAGUUGAACCUCAACCAUCGUCUUCAACGCAGAGCGAUGGGAGUACACCUCAACCGUCAUCCAGUACAUCCCCACCAGGUGAUGCAGGCCCCGCGGGAGCCCCCGAGAAGCCCACAAGUCAAGAAGCACCGAAGAAGAGCACGGAGAAGGCAUCAAAGCGCGAUGGGGUGCGAUCGUACGCCAAUGGGAGCCUGCAGCCCACAACUGGUGGGAAACCCCUCAUGGCUGCCCUCACGCGGAAGCUGUCAAAGCCCCGUGGCAGGCCGAAGCGCAAAGCCCUCGUGAAGAUGUACCAGAGUGAGAUAAGUGACAACAAAUUGGGCAUUAAGUUGUGCAUCAAGAAGUCCGAUGCAGCGGCUCCGGUGAAGCAGAAGAGCAGCCGGAAGCGCUCACGGAAGUCCAAAGCAAAACGCGCCUCAGACAGUGAUGAUUCGGACUAUGAGAAGAAACGGCGGAAGGAGUUGAUAAAGCAACGGGCAAACAACAAUACGGAUCGAGGGAAGGAAGUUGUGGAAUUUGUGGAGCCCGAAGAGCAAAGUUGCUGGGGUUCAACCCUCCCGAAGAAUGUCCUCCACACAAUCUUCCUGUUUGCCGUCCAGGAGGAAGGAUGCCUGCCAACACUAAUCAAUCUCGGACGUGUCUGUACCCUGUGGCAUGAUGUCUCACUGAAUUCCGCCCUGUGGCACACACUGGAUCUCAGUGCGUGGGUUAAGGAUCGCUUCAAGACGGAGCUGAAGCUCAAGUGGUUCAUUGACAAUCGCCUGCGGGGGUGUCAGGAUGUCAAUGUGAGCAAUUGGAAGGUGACAAAUGUGCAAUGUGUGCUGGAGAAGAUGUACGAUGCCUGUCCAAAUCUCAUUGGGAUCACCCUUGCGGGCUGGAAGUUCCUCCUGAGUGAUCAUCUCAGCUACAUCGUUGAGAACUUCCGGAAGUUGGAACGGCUCGAUUUGAGCUCAAUUAAUCUCGAAGCGAAUGCCAAUAAGACCGCCGUGGGCUUCACAUCACUCUGCAAUGCCAUUCAGGGGCUCAAUACGCGCCUUACGCAUCUCGUGCUGGCACACAAUAAACUCGGUGGACUCCCACAGAUCAUCUCUGCCCUGGCGACGCACUGCCCAAAUUUAGUUUUGCUGGACUUUUCAAACAUUUGCACCCUGGCCAUGUCUCAUGCCAUCCUGCACAUUGAGAAGCUCCAGCAGGGUUGUCCGAAACUCAAGGUGCUCCGGAUAACAAAUGCCCAAAUCACGUUGAGUCAGAUAACGCUUCAGGAGCAGAUGGACUCUCCGGGCUUUCCGGAAUUGGAGGAACUGAGUGUGGCCUCCUUGGCGGAAUCGCGCGUCAUUAAUGAUGAUUUCGUGCAGAGAAUCCUAAAGACAAGUACAAAAUUGAAGCUACUGGAUGUGCGGGGUUGUGCACGACUCACGCACGACAGUCUCAUUCGUCUCCCAGCGUGGGACAUUAAGCAUCUCUUCCUGUCCGGAUGCUCAGUUACUCGGGACUAUGGGUCCGGAUUGGAGUUAAUUGCCUCAAAGUGGGCACAUAGUCUGACGGAGAUUGAUCUGGCGUGGGCUAAUGUGCAAGGACCACUGGAUAAUGCUCUUAAAGCGCUGGCGGAGAAGAAAUCUGAAUCUCCUCUCAGGUAAAUUCCAUUUUUUUCUUUUUUGGUUAAUUGAUUAAAUUUUUAUUCGAAUUUUGAAUGAAUAAAAUUGAAUUAUUUUCGGUAAAAUCAUUACAUAUUCUUAUUCAAAUUCUGAAUAAAUAAAAUAAAAUUCAAUAAAAUUCAAGCUAAAUUUUCAAUUAAAAUUCUGCAAAUUAUUCUUCAAUAAAUAGGGAAGAGUGGGGCCGAACGAAUGACUUUAUAUUAAAUGUUAAUGAAGUUUAUUAGCGACAGAAAUUGAUCAUUAUGUUGAAAAACAAAUACUGAGGAAUGUAAAAAACAAAGAAAACAGCUUAACAGCGACGUUUCGAUUUUUUGUUUCCUUAAGGUUGAAUUUAAUUAAUUUAAUUUAAUUUUCAAUAAAGAAUUAAAUUGGUUUUUAUUAAAACUAAUCAUUUUAAUUCAAAUAAAUUUCAAUUUAUAAGAAUAAAAUUUAAGUGAAAAAAACCCUUAAUCUUUAAUAAAAAUUCCCCAACACAUAAUUGAUUAUUCUUUAAAAAAAAAUAGGGAAAACUGGGGCGAAGAAAUCAUUUUAUUGAAAAACGAGAUUAACCCAUUUCUGCAGGCUCCUAGACACUCUUGACAGAUUAAAAUGAAAAUUUCAUAAAUUUUCUUGACUAAAAAAAUGUUUGGGGAUAAACUAGAAAUUUUUAGGUUAUGUAGAAUCUCAGAUAUUUUGAAGUUAAGAUUUUUCACGAUUGCAUAAUCCGAUUCAAACAAAUUAAAUUUAUAAAUUUUCUUUGUUUUUUUGAAGAACAUUUCGAAAAAAAAAUUAUCAAAAUCGGUCCAGUAGAUAUUUUAUAAUAAAAGAAAAUGUUAGUUCAAGGUCGUUUGAAAAUAAAGAUGGCGCCAUUUUUAUUAGAACGAUAUAUCUUCAAUCACUUCUAAAAAAAAUUUCGUCAGAAUAAAACUUAAUGAUUUUUUCCUGGAUAGAAAAACAUGUUUGCUCGGUUAUAUUGACUAAACGGCUUUACCGAUUUUCAGCUUAAAUUAAUAAUUUUCAUAAUUUUAUUUAUUUUUUACUAAUUGGAAAGAAAUAAUUAUCUCUAAAUCAUACUAAAAUAUUUAGACUGAAAUUGAUAAAAAUAAAUAAUUACAAGAACUCAAAGAAUCUGCUCAACUUUGCCACCCUUUCCCCUAUUAAAACAGUUUUAUUUAAUUCUGAAAUUAAAACAAAAAAAGGAUUUAUUUUUAAGAGAAUUUUCCAAGGAAAUAAGGCAUUGAGAGCUCCUUAAUUCUUUACUUUGCAGCCACCUAAACUUGUGUGGAUCAUCAGUUUCAUUGGAGGCUGUCAAGGAGAUCCUCAGCAAUUGUCCCCUACUGAGCUCCAUAAAUUUAUCCUCAUGCCGUGGGCUACCGCGUGGUUUCAAGCGCCUCCUGCAGGGCCCCACGGAGAUCACGGAAUUGCGUGAGAAUCUCGGGGCGCCCCUACUUGUGGGGCCCAAGAAGGAGGACGCCGAAUGAAUGAAUGUUUUGGGGCAUGGGCAGUAAGUGAAUGUGCGUGAUUUGAGUGGCAAUUUGCGUGCGUGAACACACAAAAAUUCUCCGAAGAAAUCUCCAUGGGGAGAAGGAACUUCCCUGAUCCUUCGCAAGGAUUUCUAACGUAAGUUACGUAAUGAAAAAUCUUUUAAUUAUUAUGAAAGAAAAGUUUUAAGAAGAAAAUGAAUUAAUUAAUUAAGAAGAAAGGUGAAGAGAGAACUAACAGAAAACAAAUAAAAUGAAAUUUAAGGACACAUUUUUACACCCAAAUAUCGCGUAAAGGACGUAUAAGAAAAAAGAUUAAUUAAAAUUAGAAAAUAAUUCAGAAUCACACAAAAAAUGAAUUUUGUGAUAAAAAAAAAUCAAUAGAAAGAGUUAAAGAAAAAUUAAUUAAUUAAAAAUGCAAUUAACAAAAAAAAAAAGGAUAUUGAAGGUAAGUCUUUACACAACACACACAAACACACAACAUUGACAUAGUUAUGUAAGGGAGAGCAUAGAAAGAGCAACAAAUAAAAUUUAAGGAAUUGUGUAUAGAAAAAACAAAAUAUUUCUUUGGUGUUGCAAAAAAAAAGAUUUUUUAAUAAAUAAAAUUAAAAAUAGAAAGAGAAAGAACAAAAGAAAAUUAAACUGCAUGUGAUAAAAAACAUUUUAGCUUCGCUAAUAUUGCAAUUAAUUUGUGUUUAAUCACGCAGAAUUAAUCAGUCUCUGAUUUGGAUUUAAGGGUUUAAGUCUUAAGAAUUAAAUUCUCAAGUUUUGUGAAUAAAAAAAAAUCAGAAAAAAGGAAAGUUCUUAGAAGAAAAAUUGGAAAAAUUUAAUUUUUAAAAUUAGAAGAGAGGGAAAAAUUUUAACAAAAGAAUUCUUUAAGAUUUUAACCCUUAAAUUCACGCCAGAGUGGAUUUUAGAACAAAAAUAAAGAAAAACUCGAAGAUUUCUUGAGUAAGUUGGUGGUACAAAUUUUUUAGUGUGGAUAUUUUUUUUUAGCUUUUUGCAACUUGAAAAGCUGUAAAAAAGAGAAAAUCUAAUAAGAAAGAAAAAUCAUCUUAAAAUCUUCUGCAUCAGCAUUUUUUCUUGAUCUCAUUUCUCACUUUAGAACAAAGCUUUUAUUGCUACAUAAUAUAUUUUUUCUUAAUUGAAAAUUGAACAAAGAAGAAAAGCAAUAGAAGGGAUUUAUUUUUAUUUUCUGUUUGUGAAUUAAAUGGUUUGUUUUUCAAUUGUACUAAAAAAAAUUAACAGUUUAGUACUCACAAUUUUAGUACUGAUUUUUUAUCGCCUUUAAAGGAUCUACUUUUGACGCAAAAAUAGCUCUAAGGGCACGGAAAACUGUGAAAUAAUCCAAAAAUCAAUCAUGUACUAAAAUUGAAGGUACUAAACAGUUGUUUAAUCGGUUAUUAUUGAAAAACUCUAACUUGGUAUUUUUUGGUAUUCUGUCUUGGAGGAUUGUGGGAUUUCACAGUUCUAAAAACUUUAGUACAUACUUUUAGAACUCAUAGCCGAGACAUUCUUCGCUCUCUAAAACAAAAGGAUUUUAUAUUUUGCCAGAUUAUUUAUCAGGUGAGACACAUUUAACGAAUUUGACGCUACAAAAGAAAUAUUUUUAUUAGUGCUCCUACUAUACGAAGAAAGUCCUACGUAGAUAUAACAUGUGUCUUGACUAAAAAAGGUCUAAAAAUAUAAGUUUUUAGAACUGUCAAAUCAUACAAAGAUUACACACAAUUUUUUUUAAAGAGUUCUCCAAUAUUUUUUAAAUGAAAAGUCUUUGAAAUAAAAUGAAAAGAAAUAUCAAUCUCGAUAUUUAAUCUAAUUUGUACAAAAGAAAAAUAUUUGCAGAAUUAAACAAAAAAGAGAUUUAAAUCGAAUUAUUAAAAAAUAUAAAUUAAUUAGGGGCAAUGGGAACGACGUAGUUGUGUUUUCCACGUAGAAAAGUAAUUUUCCUAAUUGUUGUGUGUGCUUCAUAAUUUUCUCGCGCCUUGCAAAAUAAACAAAAAAAGAAAACAAAUACAUUAUUAACAAUAAAAGAAAACUUAUGAUGAAGAAAUAUUUUUAGCUAAUAGUUAAAAUAAUUAAAUGAAAAAUGCCAGGCAGUGGUCAACAAAUUCCCAAAAUUUCAUGUUUGUUCAUUUUUGAAAUUUUAUUUUUCAAACUUUUGAAAUUUUGACAGAUUUUUAGAGAAUUUUCUGUUGAUUUUAAGGACUUGUUUCAGAUCUCAAUUGACCCGUUUUUUUUCCUCCUCCUGUUGACCAUUCCCAUGGCAUUUUUUGGUCACGUUAAAAAGUCUGCUUGCACGCAAAAUGAAAAAAUGUACAAAGAAAAUAUAUUUCCGUAACAAAUUAUCUUUAGAUUUUUACUUUUUUUCUAAGUUUUAAAUCUUUCAAAAGAAAAUCAUUCUUCAUAAGCAAUUUUUUCUUGUUUUCUUCUUCAAAACUUUAAUAAAUCACAGCUAAUGAAAAACUAUCAUCUCAUUCUGAAAGAAAACUCACGAAAAUCUCAUUUUUUUAGCUGAAAAAAUUGCAUAAAACACAAGAGAAAUUAUAGUUAUAAAAAGUAGGGUUAUGUAAAAAAUAAAACGUAAUUUGUGCACAAAAAAAGUGGAAACAAAAGGAGAAAAAAGUUGUAAAAAAUGAUUUGAAAUUUUAGUAUGAGAGUAGUGCUAAAAAAAUAUAUAAAUACAUUUUAAUUCUUAAGUUCUUUUGAAAAAUGAGGAAAAAUGAGAUAUUAAUCAAUAUAAUAAAAUAAGUGUAAGAAUAUUAAAAGAAAAUUAUUAAAUAAUAAAAAUCACACACAAUUAAAAAAAAUGAAAGAUUAUAAAUUAGUAUUUAAUACUUAAGAGAGGAUUAAAUAGACAAAAGAAAACACUAUAUUAAGGAAUUGUAUAGAAACAUUAUACACGUUAAUUGAGACAGAAAAAAAAUAAAAGAAAUCCCGAGUUAAUUUUA